CACGUAGGGGGCAAGCGUUGUCCGGAUUUAUUGGGCGUAAAGAGCUCGUAGGCGGCUUGUCGCGUCGUCUGUGAAAUCCCGCGGCUCAACUGCGGGUCUGCAGUCGAUACGGGCAGGCUAGAGUUCGGUAGGGGAGACUGGAAUUCCUGGUGUAGCGGUGAAAUGCGCAGAUAUCAGGAGGAACACCGGUGGCGAAGGCGGGUCUCUGGGCCGAUACUGACGCUGAGGAGCGAAAGCGUGGGAGCGAGCAGG
rnacentral:rRNA from 1 species